rnacentral:rRNA from 1 species
CUGGGCUAGAAUGCCUCUGACAACCCUAGAGAUAGGGCUUCCUAGGGAAACCUAGGCAGAGUGCAAGGUGCUGCAUGGCUGUCGUCAGCUCGUGUCGUGAGAUGUUGGGUUAAGUCCCGCAACGAGCGCAACCCUUAUCGAUAGUUGCUAGCGGUUCGGCCGAGCACUCUAUUGAGACUGCCGUUGACAAAACGGAGGAAGGUGGGGAUGACGUCAAGUCCUCAUGGCCUUUAUGUUCAGGGCUACACACGUGCUACAAUGGCCGGUACAAAACGUCGCAAUCCCGUAAGGGGGAGCUAAUCGCAAAAACCGGUCUCAGUUCGGAUUGAAGUCUGCAACUCGACUUCAUGAAGUUGGAAUCGCUAGUAAUCGCGGAUCAGAACGCCGCGGUGAAUACGUUCCC